GUAGAUAGUAAUGAACUAUUUCAGAGUAAAUUCCCAGCUGUUAUAAUAUUAGAGGUGAAACUGAAAGAACAGUAUUUUAUUAAACCUAUUAAUUUAAUUUCCAUGUAUAGGUGCAAUCCUACAGGCAUUAAAAGAACAUGGCAGCAGCUUAAAAUGAAAUAUAAAAACAAUUCAAUCAAGGUAAACCAUAAGCAUAUCAUAUGUAGGGUACCUGGCUUUACAAACAUUUGACAUAUUAAAUAACUAAAUAGCAUUGUGUCUAGCAGUGCAGCAGCAUUUUUGACAUGGCUCUAAAUGUACAUUCUCAUUUGACUACUCAGCAAACAGAAAGAAAGCAGAGGCACGCAAAACGGGGGAGGACCUGCACCACCACCUCUGACAAAUGCAGAGGAGAUGGUCCUAAGCCUGAAUGCUGGAAGGCCAAUGGCUGAGGGAAUUCCUGGGGAGACUUCAUCAGAGCCAUUCACUCCAGAAGAUUUAAGCUCCUUCAUAAAUUAUUCUUAUGGUAAUAUCUGUCUCUUGGAGCUUCCUGUCCCAACAGACCCCCAGACAGUUGAUGUUGGGGAUGAAGAAACCGUUUCUGCUGCCACAGAGAGGCCUACAGAGGUAAUGUUAUUGUGUCUACACAUCAAACAAUCUACACAUUCACACUUCAUUUUUUAUGUAGAGUAGCCUAUAGAAUCAACGUUUAUAUCUAUAAAUGGUCAGUCUUAUCUACCCCCCCUCCAUCAACUUCUGGUGCACAGAUGAACACAGUUCAGUGAUUUACAGUAAAUGCCACAGUUAAAUUCUGUAGAAUUUUAGAACUACAUUAUGUAACUCUAAUCUACUGUGUUCUCAGUUGCCAGUUAAGGAGUUAUAUAGACUUCUUAU